CACAAUUAAGUUACAACAGAACACAAAUGCUUCAAAUAUUUUUAAUUUAUUUAAAUGCAACUAUAAUGAUUAUUCAUUAAACAUUUAAAUAUAUCCAUUAAAAACUUGUUUUAACUUCAUCCUUCUCUUUUACAAAAAAGUUUUCUCGACAACAACAUUGACAUAAUUUGUUGCCAAUGUUGGGAACAUGCAAAAAAUGCUAAAUUUACAUGUGUUUGUAAAUUAGAUACAUUUAAUUUUAAUUGUAUGCUACUUUAUUUUCAACUGCACAACACAGUAAAAUAAAUAUAAACAGCAAAAUAAUCACUAAGCUAUUUCAAUCACUGUUAAUAUUAUUUGCUGUCCUUUAUCUGUAUUCUUCCCUUUCAUCAUCAUUAUUAUUUUAUACUUUAAUUUUACAUUCUAAAUUUAGAAUGCUAGCUAAUCAGAUUUUUCAUAUAAUUAUAUAAAUCCUAUUUAUCUACAUGAUAAUAUAUCUGAAAAUGCUAAGCAGUUUGUGUGUCCUCAUUAUAUUUUAACUUAUGCAAACUCUAUCACAAACAUAUAUUGUACCUUGUCCAGACUGUUCACAAAAGGAAAUGCAGUAUAAUUUUAACUUUUUCAUUGAAGAGUUUCUUUUUGCUAUAUCUUAUUACCACAAAGAAAAUUUUAAACAACAAAGUACAACUAACUAAAACUCAUGACACUGAAAACAUGGUCUUCAUUCUAAGUAAAUGGUAUGGUUCAAAUAUUUCUUAAAUAUUAAUUCAAUACCAAUACUUUAUAUUGGAAUUAUCCCAGGUUUUUGAAUUAUAUGCCAAAAACUGCAUUUUAUCCCCAUGUUCUAAUUUUAGCUAUGGCCGCCAUCUUGGUUUGUUGGCCGAGUUACCAGACACAUUUUUUAAACAAAAUACCCCAAUGAUGAUUAUGGCCAAGUUUGGAUUAAUUUGGCCCAGUAGUUUCAUCAGAGAAGAUUUUUCUAAAAGAUUACUGAGAUUUACGAAAAAUGGUUAAAAAUUUACUAUAAAGGGCAAUAACUCCUAAAGAGGUCAACUGACCAUUUUGGUCAUGUUGACUUAUUUGUAGAUCUUACUUUGCUGAACAUUAUUGUUGUUUACAGUUUAUCUCUAUCUAUAAUAAUAUUCAAGAUAAUAACCAAAAACAGCAAAAUUUCCUUAAAAUUACCAUUUUCAGGGGCAGCAACCCAACAACGGAAUGUCCGAUUCAUCUGAAAAUUUCAGGGCAGAUAGAUCUUGACCUGAUGAACAAUUUUACUGUGUGUCAGAUUUGCUCUAAAUGCUUUGGUUUUUGAGUUAUAAGCCAAAAACUGCAUUUUACCCCUAUGUUCUAUUUUUAGCCAUGGCGGCCAUCUUGGUUGGUUGGGCGGGGCACCGGACACAUUUUUUAAACUAGAUACCCUAAUGAUGAUUAUGGCCAAGUUUGGUUAAAUUUGACCCAGUAGUUUCAGAGGAGAAGAUUUUUCUAAAAGAUUACUAAGAUUUACGAAAAAUGGUUAAAAAUUGACUAUAAAGGGCAAUAACUCCUAAAGUGGUCAACUGACCAUUUUGAUCAUGUUGCCUUAUUUGUAGAUCUUACUUUGCUGAACAUUAUUGCUGUUUACAGUUUAUCUCUAUCUAUAAUAAUAUUCAAGAUAAUAACCAAAAACAGCAAAAUUUCCUUAAAAUUACCAUUUCAGGGGCAGCAACCCAACAACGAAAUGUCCGAUUCAUCUGAAAAUUUCAGGGCAGAUAGAUCUUGACCUGUUGAACAAUAUUACCCCAUGUCAGAUUUGCUCUAAAUGCUUUGGUUUUUGAGUUAUAAGCCAAAAACUGCAUUUUACCCCUAUGUUCUAUUUUUAGCCAUGGCGGCCAUCUUGGUUGGUUGGCCGGGUCACCGGACACAUUUUUUAAACUAGAUACCCCAAUGAUGAUUGUGGCCAAGUUUGGUUAAUUUGGCCCAGUAGUUUCAGAGGAGAAGAUUUUUGUAAAAGUUAACGCAGGACGACGACGGACGACGACGACGACGACGACGGACGACGACGGACGCCGGACGCCAAGUGAUGAGAAAAGCUCACUUGGCCCUUUGGGCCAGGUGAGCUAAAAAACGUAUUGAAAGCUU
rnacentral:lncRNA from 1 species